AAAAUCUUUAUUGCAGAAAACAACUGACAUCAAACGAAAACGUGGAACUCGUAGAACACCACUUAAAAAACGUCUACAAAGGAAAAAUAGUUUAACUGCAAAUUUAAGGACUAACCUGUUUAACUGGUGAAACUCAACUUUUUCCACACACCUUUAUGAACAUUUGCAUUUUUGGAAGCAUUUUUGUGGUGCCAAAAUGAGAAAUUCAAAUUGAAAUUAAAUUUUACCAGCCAAGGAGUAAGAAAAAGUCCUUUUAACCAGAUGACCAAAUCGGAAUCACAGAACGAGGAAGUAAUUGAUUGAGAAUGAGCAUAGAAGAGGAACCUGUCGGUAAUCGAAGCGGCCACUAAGUUAUAGUUUCUAAUUGGCAUACAUAUGUACCAGGUUAAUAGCAAUUGUAAUUUGGAAUAUGUAUUAUAUGUACUACAAUUUAAGCUUUCAGUUUUUAAAACUUGAGUAACAUCUGGUUUUUAGGCUUCCCGAUAGAAUCAAUCAGCAAAUCCGUCAACUACAUGCAUGAGAACGAGCUCUUUUCUAUGCCAUCAAAUCAUUCGACUCAACCGGUGUUAUCAAAUAAAAAUGUUUUUCUUAAGUAACUUUGUUUUAGCAGUCGUCUUAAGUCUGACA